UGGAUAGCUCAGCUGGUUAGAGUGUGGUGCUCAUAAUGACAAGGUUGCAGGUUUGAGCCACUGUAUAUUUGAAAG